GGAGUUAGCUCAGUGGUAGAGCGCUUGCCUAGGAAGCGCAAGGCCCUGGGUUCGGUCCCCAGCUCCG
rfam:Rattus norvegicus chromosome 19, whole genome shotgun sequence.